rnacentral:rRNA from 1 species
AUUGAACGCUGGCGGCAUGCCUUACACAUGCAAGUCGAACGGCAGCGCGGACUUCGGUCUGGCGGCGAGUGGCGAACGGGUGAGUAAUACAUCGGAACGUACCCUGUUGUGGGGGAUAACUAGUCGAAAGAUUAGCUAAUACCGCAUACGACCUGAGGGUGAAAGUGGGGGACCGCAAGGCCUCACGCAGCAGGAGCGGCCGAUGUCUGAUUAGCUAGUUGGUGGGGUAAAGGCCCACCAAGGCGACGAUCAGUAGCUGGUCUGAGGACGAUCAGCCACACUGGUACUGAGACACGGCCAAGCAUACUACGGGAGGCAGCAGUGGGGAAUUUUGGACAAUGGGGGAAACCCUGAUCCAGCAAUGCCGCGUGUGUGAAGAAGGCCUUCGGGUUGUAAAGCACUUUUGUCCGGAAAGAAAUCGCGCUGGUUAAGACCUGGCGUGGAUGACAGUACCGGAAGAAUAAGCACCGGCUAACUACGUGCCAGCCGCCGCCGUAA